CCUACGGGAGGCAGCAGUGGGGAAUUUUGGACAAUGGGCGAAAGCCUGAUCCAGCAAUGCCGCGUGAGUGAAGAAGGCCUUCGGGUUGUAAAGCUCUUUUGUCAGGGAAGAAACGGUGAGAGCUAAUAUCUUUUGCUAAUGACGGUACCUGAAGAAUAAGCACCGGCUAACUACGUGCCAGCAGCCGCGGUAAUACGUAGGGUGCAAGCGUUAAUCGGAAUUACUGGGCGUAAAGCGUGCGCAGGCGGUUUUGUAAGUCUGAUGUGAAAUCCCCGGGCUCAACCUGGGAAUUGCAUUGGAGACUGCAAGGCUAGAAUCUGGCAGAGGGGGGUAGAAUUCCACGUGUAGCAGUGAAAUGCGUAGAUAUGUGGAGGAACACCGGAUGGCGAAGGCAGCCCCCUGGGUCAAGAUUGACGCUCAUGCACGAAAGCGUGGGGAGCAAACAGGAUUAGAUACCCUGGUAGUCCACGCCCUAAACGAUGUCUACUAGUUGUCGGGUCUUAAUUGACUUGGUAACGCAGCUAACGCGUGAAGUAGACCGCCGNGGAGUACGUCGCGAGAGUAACGUACGAAGUAGAGUAGACGGACGNGAGACGUUGCGAGGACGACGACGAGGGAGGAGG
rnacentral:rRNA from 1 species